rnacentral:lncRNA from 1 species
AAGUUUUUAUUUGAAGGUAACAAAAGUAAUCUCUUCCCGUCUAAUACAAAAGCUUCUCCUCACCCUUCAGCUUUCUAAGUCUAUUUCUCCUCAAUGCUCACCCUUCAGCUUCUUUGAAUCUUUUUGUCCUCAUGCUCCAUCUUCUCCUCUCUGAUCACCAGGUAAUCUUCAUUUUGAGCAAGCACUUUUUCAAUGAGAAUUGUAUCUCCUGCAACAAGAUUGAUAUUCUUCAACAUAUGUGCUCCAUCCACGCAGAAGCACUUUCCAUUUCUCAGUUGUUUCAACUGUUAGAUGCAUAGGCAAAUUUACUUGUUGAUUUUGCUCCCCGGCCUAUAGAU